UGCAUGAUGACCGGUGUUCGUCAAUUGCGUGCCACUCGGCAUCCCAGUCAGUGGCCGCAGUAGUCGUUCUGAGAUCAUACGGUUGAACUUGAUCUGGAUAAUUCCAGCGAAAGAACUCAUGCGCGCGAAUAUC
rnacentral:ncRNA from 22 species